rnacentral:rRNA from 1 species
GACGAACGCUGGCGGCGUGCUUAACACAUGCAAGUCGAACGAAGUGGCGCACGGGUGAGUAACGCGUAAUCAACCUGCCCUUCAGAGGGGGACAACAGUUGGCAACGACUGCUAAUACCUCAUACUGAAGGAGGGGAUUGCGUCUGAUUAGCUAGUUGGCGGGGUAACGGCCCAACAAGGCGAUGAUCAGUAGGCGGGUUGAGAGGAUGAACGGCCACAUUGGGAAUGAGACACGGGCCAGACUCCUACGGGAGGCAGCAGGUGGGAAUCGUCCGCAAUGGACGAAAGUCUGACGGAGCAACGCCGCGUGAGUGAUGACGGCCUUCGGGUUGUAAAGCUCUGUUAAGCGGGACGCGGUACCGGAAUAGAAAGCCACGGCUAACUACGUGCCAGCAGCCGCGGUAAUAC